AUGUUUUUCAUUUCUUAUGUUUUUCAUACCUUGAGAUGUUACCUCUAUUUCCUAGAGACCAACCUCCACAACUCGGAUCUUGGCCAUCCUGAUUCCAUAAACCGUACACGGACGACCCACAACGCCGCCGUGAACCCCAGCUUCAGGCCACACUUCCCACGUCUCUUCCAACCGCCGAGCAGAAUGAAUCCCAACGUCACCUUACUUUCCAUGUUUGUCUUGCAUCAUUUAAUCUUAUAUGGUUUGUGUUUGUGA